AGGGUUCCGAUGGGGAGCUCGGAGAUGGCAUCGCAGCUGCAGGGCGACAGCGUCCGCCCGCUCAUCACGCAGGAGCUCCUCCUCGGCUGCACCGACUGCGUCACCGUCACGCCCGGCGAGCCGCAGUGUUGUUUGACCGGAAUCGGAGACGAACAUGGCGGAGGCGAGCAGCAAGGAGAAGCAACCCCCAGGUGCUCCUGGACGUGACUUUCAAGAUCAAGGACAUUUCACAGGUGGCGUCAGCAGACGGCGUUGACUCCGAUUACCGGCCACUGCAAUAUAUGCUUGCGUUGGGCGUGGUCGGUGGCUGGGAUGCAAUACUAGUCAUGACCGUCUCGGUUGUUCCAUGUGACACUAUUCUUGGUCUAUAUUCUUGUAUUGAGGAUUAUUGUAUAUUCUUGUGUAUAUUCAAACAAUUGAAAAUGCGUCUAAUGGGUACACCUAGUUUUUUUGUA